CAAAUAUGCCUUGAAUCGAGCCUGAAGUUGAGGUGACAUUUAUAGUCUCCAUGAAAUGAAGGCAAAAGUUGGAAGAAGUUGGAAGCCACAUUCCAGCCCACUUCCUGCUGUGAUCCACUACCCACAUGUAUGACUUGCUUGGGCAGACCAUGGACCCAGAAUCAGUGGCCACUGGGGAAGCUCCAUUUCCUAAACCACUGGCUCUUCCUCAACUCUGAUUUCCAAAGAGCUGGUUCUGAAAUGCAGUUUCAUCGGUUUCCUGAAGAAGGUAGAAAUGAUGGAUCCGAUCAGGCAAAUCUGUGUUUAACAAACGCAGUGCACAGAGUCUCCGCAGCGAAAACCUAAACAGAGAGUGAUUUCUGCUCCGUGAAGCUUUCUGGCCAGAAAGACCACAAACCCCCUUCUACUCAUCUAAGAGUGUAUCUUUCCGGCAUUGUUCUGUCCUAUAUUGUACUUCCGUCAGCUCUCUGGGGGAGAGGAAUGCUUGUUCAGCAGGUGCUAUGUAUGUAAAUUGCCAAAUGCAUUCACAUUGCUGUAUAAAUAAUGAACAUUCCUGCAUUCACAGACACUUUGAUAGCAACAGUGAUAAUAUAUCUCCCUUAUUUUAGCAAAAAAAAAAAAAAAAAAAAACCAAAACCAUGUAGGUGAGAGUUUUACCUUGCUUCAGCAUAUAAGACAUAUUGGGCUGGCACAGGACCUUAUUUUUCUCUGUCAAAACUCUUAGUGGAGCAGCCCAUGAAACUGUUAUCGAAAGGUGUGGGGUCUGCCUGCUCAUUGCUCAAAAACCAAUAAGCAGACCAAGCUGGUGGAAAGGAAACUGGCUUUAUUUCAGAUGCUGGCAACUGGGGUGGGGGACAUCUGUCCCAGGGCCGACUGCCCCCACUCUGGCCACCACUGGGGCAAGAACAUUUAGACACGGAGUCGGGGUACACGCAGAAACAGCACAGUCGUCUCUGCCGGUCGUCGGUGGUCUGCCGAGUCAUCGUGGUUGUUUCAGGUUCAGUUACUCUCCAGGUCCACUGUCCAUUUGUUCCAUCUUUGAGGCCCGUUCUCAGAAUUGUAGCAGCUCAUGUCAGGGCUACAGUCUGGUCAUCGUAGUUAACGUCUCCUUUUGAUGUUUUAGUAUCCAUAUGACAGCUCAUAGGAUAUGGCUCUGACUAUUAUCUAUAGCCCUUGAGAAGGAGCUAAAUGUCCUUGUUUAUGCUUAAUGACUUGGAGAAGGCAAU